GCCUCUAUGGUCUAGUGGUACGAUACCCCCUUCGGGUUAUACCCGCCUCAUUGAGGUGCAAAUGGGGGUGGUCCCGUGUUCGACUCACGGUGGAGGCC